CCUANGGGGGGCAGCAACUGGGAAUCGUGCGCAAUGGACGAAAGUCUGACGCCGCGACGCCGCGUGAGGGAUGAAGGCCUUCGGGUCGUAAACCUCUUUUACUAAAAAGCACUGCUUUUUAGAGAAUAAGCACCCGCAAACUCUGUGCCAGCAGCUGCGGUAAUACAGAGGGUGCAAGCGUUAUCCGGAUUUACUGGGCGUAAAGCGUUUCGUAGGCGUCUUGGUAAGUUGUACCUUAAAGACCGGGGCUCAACCUCGGGAGUGGGUACAAUACUACCAGGAUGGAAGAUCUUCGGGGCUACUGGAACUCACGGUGUAGGGGUGAAAUCCGUUGAUAUCGUGAGGAACACCGAGGGCGAAGGCGGGUAGCUAGGAGAUUCUUAACGCUGAGGAACGACAGCUAGGGGAGCGAAAGGGAUUAGAUACCCUANUANUC
rnacentral:rRNA from 1 species